CACAUAAGCAACAAAGUUAUUACUCAUGUCAUAUUAAAAAUCAGAAUUUAGCAUUGUCUCGGCAAGAGAAGCUAAUUUUGGGCAUGUAGUUGCCUUUUACAGUCUUUUAUUACAG